rnacentral:rRNA from 1 species
GAUGAACGCUAGCGGCAGGCUUAAUACAUGCAAGUCGAGGGGCAGCGCAGUGUAGCAAUACAUGGGCGGCGACCGGCAAACGGGUGCGGAACACGUACGCAACCUUCCUUUAAGUGGGGGAUAGCCCAGGGAAACUUGGAUUAAUACCCCGUAAUAUUAUGAAGUGGCAUCACUUUAUACUUAUAGCUCCGGCGCUUAAAGAUGGGCGUGCGACUGAUUAGGUAGUUGGCGGGGUAACGGCCCACCAAGCCUGCGAUCAGUAACUGGUGUGAGAGCAAGACCCGUCACACGGGCACGGAGACACGGGCCGGACUCCAACGGGAGGCAGCAGUAAGGAAUAUUGGUCAAUGGACGCAAGUCUGAACCAGCCAUGCCGCGUGGAGGAUGAAGGUCCUCUGGAUUGUAAACUUCUUUUAUUUGGGAAGAAACCCACUGUUUCUACGGUGGUUGACGGUACCAGAUGAAUAAGCACCGGCUAACUCCGUGCCAGCCGCCGCCGUAACAC